rnacentral:lncRNA from 1 species
AAUUAAUCGAUCGCCGUAAGGCCGAUCGUAUGAAGAAAUCACUGUCCGCGACACAUAACCGCACCCGGACGUGUAUGAUUCAGAUGCAAGGACGAAGUGAAAUUUCGGGGAAAUGCCAGGAUGCAAUGACGCGAGAAAAGGUCCUCUGAAUUUGGAACAUUAACGGUAGGUUGCCUUCGCAUAUGUACGUCGUGCAGCGACGAGUGGCACGUCUUCUCCUUUCUUUCUUUUUUCGCCAUUAUGACACAUGACUGACGAUUUGUCAACAAUUAUUUGGAAUAUUAUUUUUUAGGUAAACAGCAUCGGAGUGGACAACGGGAUGAAAUGAUAACACUCUAGCCUACAAAAAAAUCUUUUUUCCGAUGUUGGAUCGAAAUUAGGUAUUUGCACGCGCACGCGAAUAGAUUUUUAGAUACUAAAGUAUCUUGAAUUUAUAAAUUUAUAUAACAGAUCAGGAUUUCAAAAACAAGUUAAGUAAAAUUUUUAAGACAAAAUAAAAGCAUAAAUUGUAUACAAAAAAUGCAUAUAUUGCAUAUUUUAGUAUGUAUUUAGUCACAUUUAGUCGUAUAAGUCAUAUAAAUGAAAAGUAUAUAAGAUUUUCAGCAUGUAAAGAUCUAUAUAAAAUCUAUACCAUCAAGAGCAUAAAAAAUUUUUUGUAGACUAGUGUAAUCGAUCUAGGAUCGCGCGGCGUGAUACACGAUCUCCGUAACGCUAAUCUAGUUCUCCUGAGACACGAUCGGUGAGUGUGAUAUGCAAUUUGAUUCGUAGAGAAUUUAAAAUCCUGCGUAAAUCGCGUAAUAACUGAAGCUUUCAUUCAGAGAGCGGUGCAAACCACUCGCUUUACGAUGAGACGAUCUUUCCAAGUGUACGAACAAUUACAAACUUGGCGAAGAUUUAUCUAACAAUAGUACUGGAUAUCGAGUAUUC